UCUCCCUCUCCCUUCCGCUCUGAAAUCAAUAAAAAUAUUUUUUUAAAAUAAAAAUAAAUAAAAGCAAAUGGAAACUGGCCCAGGUUGUUCCCCUUCUGGAUGCUGCUCCUGGACAGUGACCUCCUCCUCCUGUUUGACCAACUGCUUUUCCACGUGAGGCCAACGCUGGACAGGGAACCUGGGUUUGGCGAGGCCUGGGAGAUUCGAGCCGUGAAGAGAGGGCCACAGCCCAGCUCCUGGGUGCCCAGUGCCCAGUGCCCAGUGCCUGGUGCCUGGCCUCCGCCCUGCCCCGCCUCCCCUGCAGAGCACCGAGGCCAGACGGUGCCCGAGACGAGGGGCCUGGUGCUGUGGGCCCGGCCCCGGCCUGUCCGGUCACUGACCUGUUGGCCAGCAGGGAUCGCGCCGUAUAAUUUGGAAUUAGCUGCUCGGCCUGCAGCUGAGCCCCGGCGGUCAGGCGCUCGGGGCCUGGACCCGCGGCUGAGAACACCCUCCCUGGCACCCACUGCCUCCCUCGGAGGCCUCUUCACGUAAAGACGGCACAAACUCCACCAGGACCAGCCAGUGCUCAGCACACAGUAGGUCCACUCAGACUCCUUGCAGGUGUUCCGAACUGUGCGGGCCAAACGCCUGGAUUUUCUCGGUUCCCCCGCCCCCUCCCAGUUUCUUCAUCAUCUUCAAGGAGAGGCGACUGAGAGCAGGUUUGGGAGCCGGAGACGGAGGAGAAGUGAGAGGGUCCUCUGAAGCGAGAGGGGAGCCGAGAGCCCCUUGCCCUCUGCGAUGUGCAGGGCACCGGCACCAGGAUGCCCGCGUUCCCCGGGCUGCCCUCACCAGAACCAGCGCUAAUCCAUGCCUGGCCCGGGGCUCGGGGGUUGAGCGUCGACCUGUGAACCAGGAGGUUACGGUUCAAUUCCUGGACCCAGAGUCAGAAUCAUGUCCAAUGUCAGCGGCCACCAAAGCAAUGCAGCUCAGAGCGACACCCGCCUCCGUUCCUGCCUCCUGCGGGGUUUGGAAACGAGGGGCCGAGGCCAGGGCUGCGGGACAGCCCUCCGCGUGGGCGAGGGC